AGGAUUAUAGUCAACUAUGACAUGUAACUUGCACUUACAAGGUGUUAUGCUUUAACUAAUCUUA
rnacentral:tRNA from 1 species